rnacentral:rRNA from 1 species
GACGAACGCUGGCGGCGUGCCUAAUACAUGCAAGUCGAGCGAACAUUUGAGAGCUUGCUCUCAAAUGUUAGCGGCGGACGGGUGAGUAACACGUGGGCAACCUGCCUAUAAGACUGGGAUAACUUCGGGAAACCGGAGCUAAUACCGGAUAAUUCACAUCUACUCAUGUAGAUGUGCUGAAAGAUGGCUUACGCUGUCACUUAUAGANGGGCCCGCGGCGCAUUAGCUAGUUGGUGAGGUAACGGCUCACCAAGGCCACGAUGCGUAGCCGACCUGAGAGGGUGAUCGGCCACACUGGGACUGAGACACGGCCCAGACUCCUACGGGAGGCAGCAGUGGGAAUCUUGCGCAAUGGGCGAAAGCCUGACGCAGCGACGCCGCGUGAGGGAUGACGGCC